AGAGUUUGAUCAUGGCUCAGAUUGAACGCUGGCGGCAUGCUUUACACAUGCAAGUCGAACGGCAGCACGGGAGCUUGCUCCUGGUGGCGAGUGGCGAACGGGUGAGUAAUAUAUCGGAACGUGUCCAAUAAUGGGGGAUAACUAGUCGAAAGAUUAGCUAAUACCGCAUACGCCCUGAGGGGGAAAGUGGGGGAUCUUCGGACCUCACGUUGAUGGAGCGGCCGAUAUCUGAUUAGCUAGUUGGUGGGGUAAUGGCCUACCAAGGCUUCGAUCAGUAGCUGGUCUGAGAGGACGACCAGCCACACUGGAACUGAGACACGGUCCAGACUCCUACGGGAGGCAGCAGUGGGGAAUUUUGGACAAUGGGCGCAAGCCUGAUCCAGCCAUUCCGCGUGAGUGAAGAAGGCCUUCGGGUUGUAAAGCUCUUUCGCAAGGGAAGAAAACUUACAUUCUAAUAAAGUGUGAGGCUGACGGUACCUUGAUAAGAAGCACCGGCUAACUACGUGCCAGCAGCCGCGGUAAUACGUAGGGUGCGAGCGUUAAUCGGAAUUACUGGGCGUAAAGCGUGCGCAGGCGGUUUGGCAAGUCAGAUGUGAAAUCCCCGAGCUCAACUUGGGAACUGCGUUUGAAACUGCCAGACUAGAAUAUGUCAGAGGGGGGUAGAAUUCCACGUGUAGCAGUGAAAUGCGUAGAGAUGUGGAGGA
rnacentral:rRNA from 1 species